ensembl:lncRNA
GGAAGCAGAGGCAGAGGCAGAGGCAGGAAGGUCACCGAGAAUUUGAGACCAGCCUGGGCUAAGAAUGAUUGGCAAAAUGGGCCUGGUUUGAUAACAGAGAGGUCCUGUGUCCCAGCUCCUGACCUAGUUAAGGUCUCAGUUAAUCAGCCUAACAAUCAUCAGAUAUGUGAGUAAGGAAGAUUUCUAAACAAAUCCACGUCCAGCUGCCAAGUGACCAGUUGCAGGAGAGACUCCCACCCUAGCUGAGAUCAGGUACUUCCUGGAAUCAUGGGAGAUAAUAAUAAAAUGAUCAUUCUAGUUUUAAGCCAUUAAGAUUUGUGAUAAUUUGUUAACAGCAAUUGGCAACUAGAGUAAUCUACAACAGUCCUACAAAGCAUUAAAAAAGGCUGAUAGGGAAAAGAUAAAAGAGAAACAAAAAAAGGAUAAAAGAUAAAGAGAAAAAAAUAGGGCUGGAGAUUUAGCUCAGUGGCGCUGUGCCUGCCACACAAGGACAAGG